rnacentral:rRNA from 1 species
UACGAAGGACCCAAGCGGUCUCCGGAUUCAUUGGGUUUAAAGGGUGCGUAGGCGGAACGAUAAGUCAGUGGUGAAAUCCUGCGGCUCAACUGCAGAACUGCCAUUGAUACUGUCGAUCUUGAGUACAUUUGAUGUGGGCGGAAUGUGCCAUGUAGUGGUGAAAUACUUAGAUAUGGCACAGAACACCGAUCGCGAAGGCAGCUCACAAAACUGUAACUGACGCUGAGGCACGAAAGCGUGGGGAUCAAACAGG